UACGUAGGGUCCGAGCGUUGUCCGGAAUCACUGGGCGUAAAGCGCACGUAGGCGGAUUUCUAAGUCAGGGGUGAAAUCCUGGAGCUCAACUCCAGAACUGCCUUUGAUACUGGGAAUCUCGAGUCCGGGAGAGGUGAGUGGAACUGCGAGUGUAGAGGUGAAAUUCGUAGAUAUUCGCAAGAACACCAGUGGCGAAGGCGGCUCACUGGCCCGGUACUGACGCUGAGGUGCGAAAGCGUGGGGAGCAAACAGG
rnacentral:rRNA from 1 species